AGGGUUUGAUCAUGGCUCAGAACGUACGCUGGCGGCACGCCUAACACAUGCAAGUCGAACGAAGUAGCAAUACUUAGUGGCAGACGGGUGAGUAACAUGUAGGUAUCUGCCCUUUGGCCUGGAAUAACACGAGGAAACUUGUGCUAAUACCGGAUAAGUCUUUACGGAGAAAGCUUUAUGCACCAUUGGAUGAGCCUGCACUUGAUUAGUUUGUUGGUGGGGUAAUGGCCUACCAAGACUGUGAUCAAUAGCUGAUUUGAGAGGAUGAUCAGCCACAUUGGGACUGAGACACGGCCCAAACUCCUACGGGAGGCAGCAGUGGGGAAUCUUGCACAAUGGAGGAAACUCUGAUGCAGCGAUGCCGCGUGAGUGAAGAAGGCCCUUGGGUUGUAAAGCUCUUUCGUCGGGGAAGAAAAUGACUGUACCCGAAUAAGAAGGUCCGGCUAACUUCGUGCCAGCAGCCGCGGUAAUACGAAGGGACCUAGCGUAGUUCGGAAUUACUGGGCUUAAAGAGUUCGUAGGUGGUUGAAAAAGUUAGUGGUGAAAUCCCAGAGCUUAACUCUGGAACUGCCAUUAAAACUUUUCAGCUAGAGUAUGAUAGAGGAAAGCAGAAUUUCUAGUGUAGAGGUGAAAUUCGUAGAUAUUAGAAAGAAUACCAAUUGCGAAGGCAGCUUUCUGGAUCAUUACUGACACUGAGGAACGAAAGCAUGGGUAGCGAAGAGGAUUGGAUACCCUCGUAGUCCAUGCCGUAAACGAUGUGUGUUAGACGUUGGAAAUUUAUUUUCAGUGUCGCAGGGAAACCGAUAAACACACCGCCUGGGGAGUACGACCGCAAGGUUAAAACUCAAAUGAAUUGACGGGGACCCGCACAAGUAGUGGAGCAUGUGGUUUAAUUCGAAGAUACGCGCAGAACCUUACCAACACUUGACAUGUUCGUCGCGACUCUAAGAGAUUAGAGUUUUCGGUUCGGCCGGACGAAACACAGGUGCUGCAUGGCUGUCGUCAGCUCGUGUCGUGAGAUGUUGGGUUAAGUCCCGCAACGAGCGCAACCCUCACUUUUAGUUGCCAUCAUUAAGUUGGGCACUCUGAAAGAACUGCCAGUGAUAAGCUGGAGGAAGGUGGGGAUGACGUCAAGUCCUCAUGGCCCUUACGUGUUGGGCUACACACGUGCUACAAUGGUAUCUACAACAGGAAGCAAGACUGCGAAGUUAAGCAAAUCCCUAAAAGAUACCUCAGUUCGGAUUGCACUCUGCAACUCGAGUGCAUGAAGCUGGAAUUACUAGUAAUCGUGGAUCAGCGUGCCACGGUGAAUGCGUUCCCGGGUCUUGUACACACCGCCCGUCACACCAUGGGAGUUGGUUCUACCUUAAGGCAAGGUUUCAAACCCUUGACCACGGUAUAGUCAGCGACUGGGGUGAAGUCGUAACAAGGUAACCGUA
rnacentral:rRNA from 1 species